UGGGGAAUUUUGGACAAUGGGCGAAAGCCUGAUCCAGCAAUGCCGCGUGUGUGAAGAAGGCCUUCGGGUUGUAAAGCACUUUUGUCCGGAAAGAAAUCCUUGGCUCUAAUACAGUCGGGGGAUGACGGUACCGGAGGAAUAAGCACCGGCUAACUACGUGCCAGCAGCCGCGGUAAUACGUAGGGUGCAAGCGUUAAUCGGAAUUACUGGGCGUAAAGCGUGCGCAGGCGGUUUGCUAAGACCGAUGUGAAAUCCCCGGGCUCAACCUGGGAACUGCAUUGGUGACUGGCAGGCUAGAGUAUGGCAGAGGGGGGUAGAAUUCCACGUGUAGCAGUGAAAUGCGUAGAGAUGUGGAGGAAUACCGAUGGCGAAGGCAGCCCCCUGGGCCAAUACUGACGCUCAUGCACGAAAGCGUGGGGAGCAAACAGGAUUAGAUACCCUGGUAGUCCACGCCCUAAACGAUGUCAACUAGUUGUUGGGGAUUCAUUCCUUAGUAACGUAGCUAACGCGUGAAGUUGACCGCCUGGGGAGUACGGUCGCAAGAUU
rnacentral:rRNA from 1 species